rnacentral:lncRNA from 1 species
AUGCCUGUGGCUCUAAGUCAUUCUCUGUCAUAGGACAUUGUGACAUGCGUCUCAAGAGGCUGUGCAUGACCAUCUCUGGGUGUGCUGGAGUUCUUGUACCCCUUGGUCUGAGACCUUCACUGGCCUCAGUGGCAGGUGGGUUCUGAUGACCUCACACUCUCAGGAGCUCUGCCAGGGUCCAUCUCUCAGAUGUGCCGUGCGGUGAGGAAAAAGAGCGGCCUGUCUUCCUUGGCAUUGGCUGUCUGGAACUCAUCCCGCAGCCGGAACUGCCACUCAUCUUCUAGCUCCAGGCGGACCACCGUCUGGCGAAGUGAGUUCCGGUCUUGGCAGAUCACACACAAGGUGGCUCCUUGAGAGGGCAAGGACAGAGGCAAGGAGAGAAAGGGGCUCCUACUCUUGGCUUUGACACCAGGGCAACGUGGGUUUGACCUGAG